CCUGAACUUGAGUAGGGCCCAAGCCAGCCAGGAAGGAGGAGGCAGCCAGAGUGUUCUCUGCAGCAGAAGACUCCUUGCUGCCCUGCUUAACCCAGACCAGCAUUUUCCAGGAAAUGGUAUGACCUCCCUAAAUGCCUGCCUGGAGGCAGGUUGAAUCCAAAUGAGGUUCUGACUGUGGGUGCUCAGAGCCAGAAGCGAGAGCCCCUUGGGGCUCACCCCCUGCCCCACCAGGGUAAAGGAAUAAGAAGCCACACAACAGAAUAACUAAUUGUCAGCAGCCAGAGUGACUGGGAUGAACAGUGAUGGGGAAGUCACAAUGUCCCAAUGAACACUGGGCUUUGCAGGAGCAGAAUGUGCUGACCAUGAGCAAAUAUAUAUCAAGGAGGAAGAAACAGCCCUAAUGAGAUGUUAUUUUGUAAGCUGCUUUGGGAAUCCUUCUGGAUUGAAAGGAGGCUGCUUUAGCAGAGUGAGUUAGAGUCCUGGAGAGAGAGAGUCUGAAGUCAACAGCUGAAGAGUGAAGCAGUUGAGCUGGAAAGAGUUGAAGAGUAUCUUGCAGAAUGAGUGAAAAGUUCAGCUUGCAGUCAAAACAGAAGACUUGGAGAAAGACAGUUUGAGAGAUGAUGCAGAACUAAAGAACUGCUGACAUAGAACUGUUAAAAUCACUGGCAGAGAGGUAAAAUCUCUGCAGAAAGGAAAUCACAGAAGAAUCAGGUUGGAUUGAAGCCCGGGCCUGUACUGUGACCAGGAUAAGAUACUGCAGAAGGAAAAAGAACUAAGAGUUGCUAAAGGUGAUCAUCAAGGAUUCUGUUAGGGCUCAGUGAGUCAAGUUAGUGGAUGCAUUUUUGCCCAGAUUUUGUUUGUUCCCUAUGCUCUUUUGGUUGAUGGUUUUGUUUUAUAUAUACUAAACUUGUGAAGCAACUUUUGAUCAAAUUAAUUGCAAAGUAAAAUUUCUUGUUUAUAGAAAAAUUGUAGCUUCUGUUUCUCCACCUCACUCUACCGAAGUUUGUUUUUGCAACAGAAGUUUGAAAGUCUGUUGUGGUAGAUUCAGCUUAGAGCACAAAAGUCCUAACCCUUUAACAUGCCUUGAUAAAUCUGUCUGCACAACCAUGGGUUUUUCACUCUUGUCUUUAUUUAUGGAAAAUUGCCUCUGAUGAAGCCUUUCGGCGAAAGAGCUACUAUCCCGAGGUGGCUGUCGUUUGGCCAUUCUCCUGGCAUCACUCGGCUCCGGCUCCUGUCAUCCACGGUUAUCAGCUACCUCAGCGCAUGUUGCCUGUUCCAUUUGAAAGUAUGCAUCAUCAGCUGAACUUCAGGCAUUUAUGACAUCUUCCUGAGCACAUCGGUCCCUUGCUCUGGAUUUGAGUAUUUGUCAUUUGUUCUGUAUGUACUCUUUACAUUUCCACAUUCAAAGACAUUUUGGACUCCAUUUGGACAUCUGCACAUAUGGUUUUGCAUAUUUUGUUACUGUAUUUUGUUAUUUUAUAUGGCCUUAUGUUUAUCCAUGCUCACAUGUGUGUUACCGAUGUGGCUGUCUGCUAUAAUGUGUGUUGAUAGCUGGUUUUUCAUUUUUUCAUAAUACACAUAUAUAUUAUUCCUUAUUGCAUUCAUCAUUUUUUUUGUCCACGGGUUUCUUGCCAUUGUUCUUGCUUUUCUGUUCCGUGGACCACGUUUCCUUUCUUGUUAUAGAAAAAUUGUAGCUUCUGUUUCUCCACCUCACUCUACCAAAGUUUUUUUUUUGCAAUAGAAGUUUGAAAGUCUGUUGUGGUAGACUCAGCCUAGAGCACAAAAGUCUACCUGGUGGCAGUGAUUAUACUAUAAAUUACCAGGGAGAUCCAUGUCUUGUGUUAGCAGCAGGGCGGGUCCGUCACACGAGGUAGCAAAGCAUUGGGAUAGGCAGCUAUUCUUCCACACCCUCAUAUGGAAGGCUUCCUGAAUUUUUCUGGUCAAUAGACUGUAAUAAAAAUUCUAUUCUAACUCAUUGGUCCAAAGGUUCAUCAUUCUAGCUUCUGGAAAAAAUUUUAAAAGCCAAGUGUCAGAAGCGGAUUAUAUAGGAAAGAAAUAAGAUGAUUUCCUGUCCCCAAAGGGCCCAUAGUCUAAAAAGAGGCACCUUUUUAUCAUGGUGAUUAUCUUUAUUUAGCAGGGGGAGAGUAACUGGCCCUAUCCAACCCCAGCACAGGACCUCUAGUGACUGUUGCUGGUGUCUGUCUUAUAUUUCCUUUUAGAUUGUGAGCCUUUCAGGGACAGGGAUCCAUCUUAUUUAUUUAUUAUUUCUCUAUGUAAACCGCUUUGGAAACUUCUUUUGUUGAAAAGCGUUAUAUAAAUAUUUGUUGUUGUUGUUGUUGUUGUUGUUGACAUCCUGAUCCUCAAUAGUGCAGCAUUCGUAUAGCAAGCAAAGUUGUGCAAAAAGAUUGCAUAGUUGUGCUAAAAACCAGGGAUUUGCGGAAUUGUGCUAUUGGGUGUCUUCUUGAAUGUAGAAGUUUUAAGUUACUCUCCAGCUAGAUACUUAUCUUUCCUUACUGUACCUAAAUUUCCUAGGGCUUUAACUUUAGCCUGUUGCAACACCAUGAAUACAGCAGUGUUGCAGGAAAGAUUUCAAAAUAUUCCUUGUCAAUGCCAUGUUUGUCCAUGUGGAUUGGGAGAAGUCGAAACAACUUUUGUAUUCCUAUUUGUAUUCCAUGUCCUUUUGUAUUACAUGGAAUAUAAUUUGAGAAUUGUAUUCCAUGUCCUUUUGUAUUGCCAAUUUUAUAGUGACAUCAGGAUGAAAUAUAUUUCUCCCCCAACUCACUUUGUUUCCAGGACUAGCUGAAAUGUAUUAUUUAAAUUUAAUUUUAAAGGAUUGUAAAGGUAGGAAUUUACUCAAUGUUGCUAAAUUUUGUUAUAUUAAUGGUGUUAUUCGGAAUGAAGUUGUUAAUUCUGAUUGAUUGUACUUUUGUAAUUCUGGCCGUG